CAUCGUGCCGUUAAGUUUCAGUACACGCGGCACUGACAAUCCGACCCGCCAACCGCAAGCCAACUAUCAGCGCCUAGUAUCAUUUGGGUGAACGCAGCCGUCCACACGAUCGCGAAGUUAUUUCAAUGAGUUGAAUAUAAAUUAUUCUUCGAGUAGCAAGGAGAGGUCAAGUCUGGUGCCAGCAGCCGCGGUAAUUCCAGCUCUCCUAGUUUAUCUCGUUAUUGCUGCGGUUAAAAAGCUCGUAGUUGGAUCUAGGUUACGUGCCGCAGUUCACAAUUUGCGUUAACUGUGGUCGUGACUUCUAAUUUUCUGGUUUGAGGUUGGGUUCGCCCUUCAACUGCCAGCAGGUUUACCUUGAAUAAAUCAGAGUGCUCAAUACAGGCGCUUGCUUGAAUAGCUUGUAAUGUAAUAAUGAAACAGGACUUCGGUUCUUUUUGUUGGUUCUAAAAUGGUUAAGAGGGACAAACCGGGGGCAUUCGUAUCAUUACGCGAGAGGUGAAAUUCGUGGACCGUAGUGAGACGCCCAACAGCGAAAGCAUUUGCCAAGAAUGUCUUAAUUAAUUGAGAACGAAAGUCAGAGGUUCGAAGGCGAUUAGAUACCGCCCUAGUUCUGACCGUAAACGAUGCCAUCUCGCGAUUCGGAGGGUUCAUGCCCUACCGAGGAGCUACCCGGAAACGAAAGUCUUUCGGUUCCGGGGGUAGUAUGGUUGCAAAGCUGAAACUUAAACAAAUUGACGGAAGGGCACCACAAGGCGUGGAGCUUGCGGCUUAAUUUGACUCAACACGGGAAAACUUACCCGGUCCGGACACUAUUAGGACUGACAGAUUGAAAGCUCUUUCUCGAUUUGGUGGUUGGUGGUGCAUGGCCGUUCUUAGUUGGUGGAGUGAUUUGUCUGGUUUAUUCCGAUAACGAGCGAGACUCUAGCCUGCUAAAUAGUCGACGAAUUUUUGGGUUUGUAUAACUUCUUAGAGGGAUAAGCAGUGUUUAGCCGCACAAGAUUAAGCGAUAACAGGUCUGUGAUGCCCUUAGAUGUACGGGGCUGCACGCGUGCUACACUGGUGGAGUCAGCGGGUUUUUCCUAUGCCGAAAGGUAUCGGUAAACCGUUGAACUUUCUAUCAAUUCUGUUGCUUUCCGAAUAAGGAAAAGCUUCAAAUCAUAACAUUCCUGAAUUAGAAUUGUCCCGAACCAGAACUGUCUUCUUUACGAAAUACCAUGUUUACUCUAUUUGUCCGGCAUGCAGAGGCUUAUUGUUUGAACCUCCUGCUUGGAUGCCGGGCAGUUAGAGUAAAUACCACAUAAUUCAUUUUUGACAUUUGUGGCUCAUAAAAUUUUUUUUUUCCAAUCAUGCUGCUGAUUUCACCUUUACCAUAGUUCUGAUUUGGAAACGUUUUGAUUCGAGAUAGUCGGGGGACUACGAUGGUGAGGGACUAUAAUUGUUUAUGCUGGGGUGGGGGCUUAUAUCCCACAACAGGCAUAUGAAGUAGGUAUUCGUGAAAUUACGUCUUAAAAUAAUAAAAUCCACAAAAAACUGGUGUCACCACGCCUCGCCCCGACCCUUUCCCGUGCAAAAC
rfam:Caenorhabditis japonica strain DF5081 Contig11506.2, whole genome shotgun sequence.